UACAGAGGGUGCGAGCGUUAAUCGGAAUUACUGGGCGUAAAGCGCGCGUAGGCGGCUUUGCAAGUCGGGUGUGAAAUCCCCAGGCUUAACCUGGGAACUGCAUUCGAGACUGCAUUGCUAGAGUAUGGGAGAGGGAAGUGGAAUUUCCGGUGUAGCGGUGAAAUGCGUAGAUAUCGGAAGGAACAUCAGUGGCGAAAGCGACGUCCUGGACCGGCAUUGACGCUGAGGCGCGAAAGCCAGGGGAGCAAACGGG
rnacentral:rRNA from 1 species